rnacentral:rRNA from 1 species
UCGAGGAUCUUCGGCAAUGGGGGCAACCCUGACCGAGCGACGCCGCGUGCGCGACGAAGGCCUUCGGGUUGUAAAGCGCUGUCGAGGGGGAGAAAGGCCGAAAGGCUUGAUCUAGCCCUGGAGGAAGCUCGGGCUAAGUUCGUGCCAGCAGCCGCGGUAAGACGAACCGAGCGAACGUUGUUCGGAAUCACUGGGCUUAAAGGGCGCGUAGGCGGGCGGCCGCGUCCGGGGUGAAAUCCCACGGCUCAACCGUGGAACGGCCCCGGGUACGGGUCGCCUGGAGGGGGGUAGGGGCGUGCGGAACUGUGCGUGGAGCGGUGAAAUGCGUUGAUAUGCACAGGAACUCCGGUGGCGAAGGCGGCACGCUGGACCCUCCCUGACGCUGAGGCGCGAAAGCCAGGGGAGCGAACG